rnacentral:rRNA from 1 species
CGAGGACGACGCUGGCGGCGUGCCUAAUACAUGCAAGUCGAACGCUUUUCGUUUCACCGGAGCUUGCUCCACGAAAGAAAAGAGUGGCGAACGGGUGAGUAACACGUGGGUAACCUGCCCAUCAGAAGGGGAUAACACUUGGAAACAGUGCUAAUACCGUAUAACACUAUUUUCCGCAUGGAAGAAAGUUGAAAGGCGCUUUUUGCGUCACUGAUGGAUGGACCCGCGGUGCAUUAGCUAGUUGGUGAGGUAACGGCUCACCAAGGCAACGAUGCAUAGCCGACCUGAGAGGGUGAUCGGCCACACUGGGACUGAGACACGGCCCAGACUCCUACGGGAGGCAGCAGUAGGGAAUCUUCGGCAAUGGACGAAAGUCUGACCGAGCAACGCCGCGUGAGUGAAAGAAGGUUUUUCGGAUCGUAAAACUCUGUUGUUAGAGAAGAACAAGGAUGAGAGUAAAAUGUUCAUCCCUUGACGGUAUCUAACCAGAAAGCCACGGCUAACUACGUGCCAGCAGCGGC